rnacentral:lncRNA from 10 species
UUCUUUGCCUCUUCCUAGCUUCUGGUGCUUUGCCAGCAAUCCUUGGCAUUCCUUGGCUUGGAGCUGCAUACCUCAGUCUCUGCCUCGGUUGUCACAUGGUAUUCUUCCCUUGUGUACCUGAGUCUCUGCAGCUCUUCUCUUCUCACAAGGACACCAACCAUAUUGGACUAAGGGCCUACCCUACUCCAGUAUGACUUGUUUUAAGAAAUUACAUCUGCAAUGACCCAAUUUCCAAAUAAGGUCACAUUCUGAGGUAUUGGGGGUUAGGACUUCAACAUAUCUUUUUUGGGGACCCAACUCGAUUUAUAAUAAGUAAUGUUGUAGUGGGUGUCAAAAUGAAGGUUUGGGGAUAUCAUUAAGAGGGUAGGGCUAAUUCAUGGGGAAUUUACGGUGCAUUUAACCAGGAAUCCUGGUAGGUUGUUGGGUGGUUGAGGAGUCAAAGUGAGCUUUGGGUUCUGCUAUAAUGACAUGAUGGCCAGGAACACAGGCCUGCCUAGAUGCCAACCCUUCUUCCCACUAGAUUAUUCUCUAAGGAAGGUGCCCACAAGGAACAAUGGUCAAAUAGGAAACAAAACACCACCUACAAAACUGAUCAAGCCUAUUAGUAAAAUAUGGUCCAUUGAUUGUUUGGGUUCUGACCAAUCAUGUUACAGUGUUUUCUCCUUUAGAGAGAGCUGGUGACAUGAGAGGCAGAAAAAGGACCAUGGUGGGGAGGCCCUGAUGUGAGAAGGUUGGUGGCAGGCAGGAGAACUCUAGCCACUAGUUUGAGGGUCUCUACUUUAUGGAAGCAUAGGUCUGAGAAAGGGGUUCUAGGUGAUGAUAGCCCUGUUCUUUGAACCAGGGUACCACAUGAAGUUUCAAUCUGGGCACGGGGAUGGGUUCAGAGGUGCUCAGUACUGUAUGCUGAAUCUGCAUCUGUAAGUCAGAGGAGACCAAGACUUCACUCCAGAAGCUGGGCUGGGAGCUGAUUAAAUCUCUCUUCCAACCUCCAGUUAGAAUAGAGAGAGGCAUACAUGUAUCCAAAUGCAGUGUGUGUGGUUGUGGGGAGAUGGAAGGGAAGGGAAGCCCAGAUCCAGAGACUGGAAAUCGAGUGAGAACCUGCCCUUUUGUCAACAUGUUCCUUCUGUCGAGCAUUCUUUAUAUGGUCCACAGUUUUCAUCACUUGUUCAGUCAUUCUGUGUCUCUCUCUAUAGCUGUCAUACUCACUUGGCAAAACUCCAAGCUGAAUGUACUCAACCCAUUACCUGCCAGAAUUUGAGCAACUGUAUGUUGCUGGAGAAAAUCACACAAACUGAGAAGCUUCUUUUUAAAUGCAUAAUCUCAACCCACCACUUGGUAUUCAAACUGUAGUUAAUAAACUUGCUUUUCCAUCAUUUAGGAUGCUAUUUCCUACCUUUGCCUAUCUUCUCAAAUUCCCUACUCCAUUCCUGCACCCUUCACUCUGAUCUAAUUAUCCUGUUUCAAUUGUAUUUAAUUAAAAAAAUUAGAACCAUCAGCCAUAAAUGCCCCUAGCUUACAUCUGAGUUCAUUUGGGUCUUCUGCUUCUGGUCCUUCUGGUAUAAAGGUGAAAAUAUGCUGUUCCCACCCCAGUUCCUGGAGCUGGAUACUCCUGGAGUUCUAGAUCCUGUCCUUUCUUACCUUCUCAAGGUUUUACUCCUCUGGCUAUCUCCUAUUCAUCCUAAAUUACCAAUCCUACCCUCUUCUCUAGGGCUAGUCUCUUCAGUUCACAAACACGAUUGACAUUCCCUUAAGCCUAAAAGUCCUUUUUUGAUUCCUUCAUCCCUCUUCAGCUACUGCCCAUUUCUCUGCAUCGCUUCACAGUUUAACAUCUCAAAAUAGCUGUUUACAUACUUGUUCCAUGGUUUAAGCCUUUAAUUAGUUUUCAGACUCUCGAGUUGGGUCUCUGACUUUAACACUUCACCCAAACUUCUUGUGUCAAGGUUACCAACAAUCUCCAGGUUGCCAAGUCCAAUGGACAAUUUAUACUCUCAUUUUGCUCAGUUUCUCACUUGAGUUGUAUCCCAGUGGCCACUCCUUUAUUUGACAGUCCACCUUUGGUUUUCUUCCUUUCUCUAGAUCUCUGACAAUUUCAUCCCAGUCUC